GACGGUGGCAGCGGCGUUGUCACACUUGUUGCGCCGAAUUCGUUUAAUAUUCUCGUCACGGUACGACAACAAGACGGCCGCGAAACAACAGUAAUUAUGCGUUUAUAAUAAUAUUUUAUUACACGAACACGCGCCGUACGAAACGAACGCGCGAAGAAUGCGAGAAAAAAAAGAAAAAAAACAACGAUCCGAUACCGGGGACUGCCGACUGGCACGGCCGCGACUGUUGCG